CGAACGCUGGCGGCGUGCUUAACACAUGCAAGUCGAACGAGAAAGUUCCCUUCGGGGAGCGAUUAAAGUGGCGCACGGGUGAGUAACGCGUAGAUAAUCUACCCCAAUAUCUGGGAUAACUACUCGAAAGGGUAGCUAAUACCGGAUACGCUUUAAGUGUAGCGAUACAUUAAAAGGAAAGGUGACCUCUCAGAGAAGUUGCCGUAUAGGGAUGAGUUUGCGUACCAUUAGCUAGUAGGUAGGGUAAUGGCCUACCUAGGCGACGAUGGUUAGCGGGUCUGAGAGGAUGAUCCGUCACACUGGAACUGGAACACGGACCAGACUCCUACGGGAGGCAGCAGUGAGGAAUAUUGCGCAAUGGGGGAAACCCUGACGCAGCGACGCCGCGUGGGUGAAGAAGGCCUUCGGGUUGUAAAGCCCUGUCAGGUGGGAAGAAAUGCAUAUAAGUUAAUACCUUAUAUGUUUGACGGUACCACCAGAGGAAGCACCGGCUAAAUCC
rnacentral:rRNA from 1 species